CUGAGGCAUGAAAAGUUAAAGAGGAUUCCCCGGUUCAUAUAGCCAGUAAUUGUCCGAGAGAGGAUUCAAACACUUGAAGUUCAAUAUCUUAUCUACUACAGCACGAUAAACAGAUCGGUUUAGAUAAACAAUUGGGUAGAUAGAGAAUGCAGAGGAUGAUGAAAUCUACAUUGGAAAAUUUGGCUCAGGUUUCAGAAACAAAAGUAACUAAACACUUGUUGGUCAGUCAAAAUCCUAAAGCCUAUAUAUGUCAUGGAUACUUUCUUCCAGAAGAGAAUUGGAGGGUGCUGAACAUGGAGACCACUAAACGACAUCACAACAAAAGGGCUGGAAGCUUCCAAGGAGAAAGAACUAUGCACCAAAAGCCUCCAAAGAAGUUUCUGGGAUUUGUCCAACAUUGUAGGCCCAUGAUAUGAAGGACACCAAAGUAUGAAAUUUAAUGUUUUGGUUGGGGUGACCUAUGGACUCAUUAGAGAAGGACACAAUAAUCAAUGUAAUAUACAUGGGAUAAGUUUAAUAGGAGGCUAGAGGAGGCAGAUAUCAGUAUGGACUAGAAUAAUCAGGAAAAUCCCUGUGGAGGACAAGGGAAUUGAACAAUGAAUUUAGGGAUUGUUCAUUUGAUUCUUUCUAGAGUCAUAGAUUCAUGGACACAUGGAAUCUCAGAGUUGGAAGGGAUAUCAUCUUGAUCUAACCCACUGCCUCCAUAAUAAUCCCUCAAUAGCAUCUGAUUUCUGUUUAAACAUUUUCAUUCAAGCUCUGGUGAACCCCUUAAAUUUGCUUUAAGAUGGGGUCUCCUGGGCUUUGAGGUCCUUGAUGGAGCACUGGACUUCAAGUGAGAAAACCCGAGUUCUUUUUCUCUCUCCUCAUCUACUAGUUGCAUGAUUCUGGGCAAAUCCCUUAUCAUCUCAGCCUCAGCUCACCCAUUUAUACAAUGAAGCAGUUAUUCUCUAGGUGGCCUUUUGGGGAGGGGUAUGGACUAACUUCAGAAGAUCUUCAGUAAGAAAACUCCAAGAUAAUUUCGGAGAAACUUGGAGAGACUUGUACAAACUGAUGCAGAGUGAAAUGAACAGAACUCACUUUCUCCAAUAAAAACAUCGUAAAAACAAACGCUUUGAAAGAC
rnacentral:lncRNA from 1 species